rnacentral:rRNA from 1 species
AGUGAACGCUGGCGGUAGGCCUAACACAUGCAAGUCGAACGGCAGCACAGUAAGAGCUUGCUCUUACGGGUGGCGAGUGGCGGACGGGUGAGGAAUACAUCGGACUCUACUUUUUCGUGGGGGAUCACGUAGGGAAACUUACUCUAAUACCGCAUACGACCUACGGGUGAAAGCAGGGGAUCUUCUGACCUUGCGCGAUUGAAUGAGCCGCUGUCGGAGUAGCUAGUUGGCGGGGUAAAGGCCCACCAAGGCGACGAUCCGUAGCCGGUGUGAGAGGAUGGUAAGCCACACUGGAACUGAGACACGGUCCAGACGCCUGAGGGAGGCAGCAGUGGGGAAUAUUGGACAAUGGGCGCAAGCCUGACCCAGCCAGACCGCGUGGGUGAAGAAGGCCUUCGGGUUGUAAAGCCCUUUUGUUGGGAAAGAAAAGCAGCAGGUUAAUACCCCGCUGUUCUGACGGUACCCAAAGAAUAAGCACCGGCUAACUUCGUG